GCGGUUCGAUAGGAACUUGAACUGGAGUUUCAUGAUCAUCAUCAUUAACUUCCUCCUCAACCGGCGUCGCAACGACAGGGGUUUCCCCUUGCCCUGCGCCACCAUCCAGAGGGAUGAGAGGUUCGACAACCUCAUCAAGUUCUAUCUUCCUCCCACUCAAUUCCCUCGAGAGAAACUCCUUCUCGAGAAAAGCUCCGUUUUUAGCAACAAACACUUUGCCCUCGGAUUUGAGAUAGAAGGUGUACCCAACUGUCUCCUUU
rnacentral:lncRNA from 1 species